ensembl:lncRNA
AUACAACGCUCGCACGCGGAAAAGCUUUCGCAUAUGCUUCUAGGAAAAUACCAAUUUAUAAUAAUCAUAUUACAAGUUAUGGAUGAUCACCGGCGCCGUGGAGAGGAAUGGACGCGCGUCUGGCCAUAUAGCAGCUCCGGUUAGCGGAUAGCCCGCAGCUCGCGACCAAACAGACAAAGAGGGUGCUGAAGAUGCUGAAGUGAGACAGUGGAUGCUGAGGUCAGAUGCUCUGAAUCAGUAUACCAAUACAGAAUGCACAUGAAUGAAAUGAUAUAAAGCUGGAGAAUGUGGAUUCUAUUUUAGAUUGUGAUAGACCAGAUAUAUUUUAUAAAGUAAUGCAGUUUGCUAGAGCACACAGGGCCUGAGUUAUCUACUUUCAAAGAAAGUGUUUAGAACACACAAAAAAAGCGCCUUGUAUUGAGGUGGUUCAUCAUGUGAAAAACAACACAAAUAAUAAUAUUUGUCACAAACAGCAGCUUUUUAUGUCACUUCAAAGGGUUUUCUGUAAAAGGAUAUAAAGAUAUUGCAUCUAUUCUACUAUAUGUGGGUAUUUGGAGUCUUCAAAUGUGGGUAGUCGGAAAAUGUAUACAAAAAGGGUAUUAUUCCUCCCUUUAGAUGGAAUAGAAUAACUUUUGCAUAGAUUAUGAUAGAAACAAAUUUCCUUUUUCCUCUAUUAGCUGACAUGUGCUGGAAACAAAUACAAUUGUUUGCAGGAUGCUGGACCUCUCAGAACCUGAGCUAUACAAUUUCAAACUUCAGUUUAUAAAAAAAAAAAUCAAAAAGCGCCUUUUUUUUUCCCCAUUUAUUAUAACACAGACAACAUAUUAAACCAUUUUUAUCAGUUUCAACACUGUUUUAUGUAAUUUCAAAGGAUUUCCUGUAAAAUGAUACCAAACUUUUGUAUGUACACCUCUGCAUGUGGGUAUGGGAAGCUUUUGAAUUUGGGUAGGAAAAAUGCCAGGCGGAAAUCCCCAAAAUAGCCCUGUGCUUAAGAGGUUAAUUUCUCAACAAUUAUUGUAUUGCAUUGCAUUAUAUGUUUUGCCCAACAAUAAAUAACUACAGAGCUUUGAUAAUAAAACUAAGCAUUUAAAUAUCAUUUUACUAAGACAUACUAUUGGAAGAUACAGAGUGACAACUAAUAUUUAAAUGCAUUUUAUGUAAGUUGGCAUAUACAUUUUUAAUAAACUGUCCCAUUUAAAAAAAAAAUUGUUCUAACUAUUAUUUCAAAUGUCAGUCUUUACAGAGUAAUUGUUUCCAAUUCACCUGUAUUUUCACUUUGUUCGGAACACCAACAGUUUGUUUUAGACAGGUGUGAACAAAAAAGAUUUAGGACAUAUUUUAAAAAUUAACAUCAGAUCUGAAUGCUUGAAAAUAUAAAUAGCACAAUGUUCAGAGAACAUUCUCCAUAGCUUACUUUUACUGACCUCUGACCUCAAGCUAUUUACAACAAAAAAGUCCCUUCAGAAGAAAACAGGUGACAUGUGUAGGAUCUGGAUUUUGGCAGGGUUCCCGAAUCUCAUCCAGCACUUCCUUCACCUGUUGCUCUGAUAACACACCCUUCCAGCGCAGCAGACCAGGUACAUACUGCUCACUGCAAAACAAUCAGAAGAAGACUUCACUUUCAUCUGAUGAAAACAAAAUCACUCAUUCUCUGUCUGAAUACUCACACAAUGAAAACAGCUACAUUUAAUCAAAUGUGAAUUCAUGUUUGCAUUUGUAGUGAAGCGUUAAUUGUUGAUCUGGGUUUAC